rnacentral:rRNA from 1 species
GACGAACGCUGGCGGCGUGCCUAAUACAUGCAAGUUGAGCGCUGAAGGUUGGUACUUGUCCCCACUGGAUGAGCAGCGAACGGGUGAGUAACGCGUGGAUAAUCUGCCUUUGAGCGGGGGACAACAUUUGGAAACGAAUGCUAAUACCGCAUAAAACCUUUAAACACAAGUUUUAAGUUUGAAAGAUGCAAUUGCAUCACUCAAAGAUGAUCCCGCGUUGUAUUAGCUAGUUGGUGAGGUAAAGGCUCACCAAGGCGAUGAUACAUAGCCGACCUGAGAGGGUGAGUGGCCACAUUGGGACGGAGACACGGCCCAAACGCCUACGGGAGGCAGCAGGAGGGAAUCUUCGGCAAGGGACGAAAGGCUGACCGAGAAACGCCGCGGGAGGGAAGAAGGGUGUCGGAUCGUAAAACUCGGUUGGUAGAGAAGAACGUUGGUGAGAGUGGAAAGCUCAUCAAGUGACGGUAACUACCCAGAAAGGGACGGCUAACUACGUG